CAAGUUCGAUCCUACAACGGAAACAUCAUCACAUCAUUAAAUCGUAGCAUCUUGUCCUGAAAAAGGCACAAACUCCUUGUGAUUUUUUUUUCUUCUCUCUGCGCCGGCUCUUCAUAACAGCAGAGAUUUUUGAGAGGCUGCAGAGAGAGAAAUCAAAAGAAGAAGAAAAAUGGCUGGUGUUUCCAGGAUUGUUGUAGCUGCUGUUGCUCUUGCUCUUGCUUCUGCCUUUGUUCUGCCUGUUGCUCAGGCCCAAGCUCCAGCUCCUGCCCCCACCAGUGAUGGGACAUCAAUUGACCAAGGCAUUGCAUACGUGCUGAUGUUGGUGGCACUAGUGCUCACAUACCUCAUUCACGCGGCAGACUUAUCUCACAGCUUCUGAAAUGGUUAAACUUUGGAUAAGGAGAUAGGGAGGUUUGGGUUAGAUUAUGGGAGUGAUGUGCGUGUAUCUUUUAUUUUAGUCUGUUGAUAUUUGUAUGAAUGGAUUGUUUCUGAGUUGUGACGAAUUUGUUGUUGUUGUUGCUAAUGCUAUCACCUUGUUUGGAGGCA